rnacentral:ncRNA from 1 species
GCAACCUCAAGCUGGCGCGCGAGAGCAUCGUCGUCUUCCGCUCGCUGCUGGGCAUCAGCUGGAUGUGGUUCUUCGGUGCCGUCUUCCUCAGCCUCUUCCCGGCCUUCGCGAAAGAGGUGCUG